rnacentral:rRNA from 1 species
UACGUAGGGGGCAAGCGUUGUCCGGAUUUAUUGGGCGUAAAGAGCUCGUAGGCGGUUCCGUAAGUCGUGAAGUCAAAUCUCUGGGCUCAACCCAGAAUCGCUUCCGAUACUGCGGUGACUGGAGUUCGGUAGGGGAGUGUGGAAUUCCUGGUGUAGCGGUGAAAUGCGCAGAUAUCAGGAGGAACACCAACAGCGAAGGCAGCACUCUGGGCCGGUACUGACGCUGAGGAGCGAAAGCAUGGGGAGCGAACAGG